rnacentral:rRNA from 1 species
CCUACGGGAGGCAGCAGUGGGGAAUAUUGGACAAUGGGCGAAAGCCUGAUCCAGCCAUGCCGCGUGUGUGAAGAAGGUCUUCGGAUUGUAAAGCACUUUAAGUUGGGAGGAAGGGCAUUUACCUAAUACGUAAGUGUUUUGACGUUACCGACAGAAUAAGCACCGGCUAACUCUGUGCCAGCAGCCGCGGUAA